rnacentral:lncRNA from 1 species
AGAUUGAACCCAAAGCUUUGCUGAAAGAACACUUACUUUUAGCCAAAGAUCCCUCAAGUCUAUUGAUGAGUGGAAUGAAGAUGUGUGAUCAUGUGUUAAACACCAGUAAUGAAAGGUCUAUUUAUAAGCCCAUGGAUCUUCUCAAGUUAAUAUAAUCUAUUGUUAAUCAAGAUAAUGAGCUGGUAGAAUGAGAGGAUGAUAAUUUUUUAUUAAAAAAAUUAGGCUGUUUUACACAUGAGUAGUGAGAGU